rnacentral:rRNA from 1 species
CAGCUCUAAGUGGGUGGUAAAUUCCAUCUAAGGCUAAAUACUGGCGAGAGACCGAUAGCGAACAAGUACCGUGAGGGAAAGAUGAAAAGCACUUUGAAAAGAGAGUGAAACAGCACGUGAAAUUGUUGAAAGGGAAGGGUAUUGGGCUCGACAUGGGAAUUGCGCACCGCUGCUCCUUGUGGGCGGCGCUCUGGGCUUUUCCUGGGCCAGCAUCGGUUUUCGCCGCAGGAGAAGGGGCUGUGGAAUGUAGCUGCUUGCAGUGUUAUAGCCACUGCCAGAUGCUGCGUGUGGGGACCGAGGGCUGCGACAUCUGUCUCGGAUGCUGGCACAACGGCGCAAUACCGC